UACGAAGGGGGCUAGCGUUGCUCGGAAUUACUGGGCGUAAAGGGCGCGUAGGCGGAUGUCUAAGUUGGGGGUGAAAUCCCGGGGCUCAACCUCGGAACCGCCUUCAAUACUGGAUAUCUUGAGUUCGGGAGAGGUGAGUGGAAUGCCGAGUGUAGAGGUGAAAUUCGUAGAUAUUCGGCGGAACACCAGUGGCGAAGGCGACUCACUGGCCCGAUACUGACGCUGAGGCGCGAAAGCUAGGGGAGCAAACAGG
rnacentral:rRNA from 1 species